UGACUUGGCAUGCUUACGUGGCAC
rnacentral:miRNA from 1 species